rnacentral:rRNA from 1 species
UACGUAGGGACCAAGCGUUGUUCGGAUUUACUGGGCGUAAAGGGCGCGUAGGCGGCAAUUCAAGUCAUCUGUGAAAUCUCCGGGCUUAACUCGGAACGGUCAGAUGAUACUGCUUUGCUAGAGUGCAGAAGGGGUCAAUCGGAAUUCUUGGUGUAGCGGUGAAAUGCGUAGAUAUCAAGAGGAACACCUGAGGUGAAGACGGGUUGCUGGGCUGACACUGACGCUGGAGGCGCGAAGCCAGGGGAGCAAACGGG